CAGACGGGUGAGUAACGCGUGGUCAACCUACCCUAGAGUGGGGGAUAACUAGCCGAAAGGUUAGCUAAUACCGCAUGAAACAUGCCGGGGCAUCUCGGAAUGUUGAAAGGAGCAAUCCGCUCGAGGACGGGACCGCGUCCCAUUAGCUAGUUGGUGGGGUAACGGCCUACCAAGGCACCGAUGGGUAGCUGGUUUGAGAGAGCGACCAGCCACACUGGGACUGAGAAACGGCCCAG
rnacentral:rRNA from 1 species